AUGAGUGGCAAGUGAGAGAGUGCGCUCGCUGCGGUACGGUGUGUGUUUAGUUGUUCGGUGAGGGCAAAAAAUAGACGCAGCCAGACGAAAGUAUACCCAAACAGGUAGUUGAAGUGGUUGUGUAUUGUCAGUUUGACAGCGAAUGCGGUUAUGUCAAAACAGUUAAUACGCUGUGUCGGAUGGCAAAUCAUUCAAAAUAAAUUGAGACAGCAACGAAGUUAGACGAAAAGUUUGAAGCACGUGUAAAUUUGGUGUAACACGUGGCGUUUGACAAACGGAUAGUUGGUAAAGCUUUCAAUGUGAUGCCAGUGAUUUAAUAACGAAAAGAAAAGAGUAUUAAAACAGAAAACGGCAACAGGUGUGCUGGAAGUAAGACGAAAAGAGACAAAAUACAGAAAAGACGUGAAUAAAAACUCAACAAGAUAUAACUAAGAGGUAAUCAAAAACGGGCUGUUUGCAAUAAAUGAAAGAAGACAGAUACAACUGCGUUUAAUUGUAUUGGCGGCAGUGAAGAAAACAGCUCCAAAAAAAAAAUGUUCGAAGUCGUCUGCAUAAUGUUCAUCGGCCCCUGGGUCAUACUGGUGCUGCUGAUGCUAUUUGCUAUGUCGAUAAUUUAGGUGACGUGACAGCCAUGGCAUGAGAAGCGAGCGGCUAUUUUUGCGCGCAAAAUAUUUUAGACAUAUUGAAAAAAUGUGAGGAAAACCUAUUGGUUGUGCCUAUAACAAGCACGAGGAGGGGGAGCAUUUAUUGAUUCUGGAGAAAUCAUUAGCUGGAUCUCAACUUUUUCAAAACAAUUGUGUAAAUAUUAUUCAGUACUUUUAACAAGUAUGCGUUGAAAACUAAAAUAAAUAAUUACACAAAUAUACUUAAUAUUUACUAUGUAAACACACUUGUACUAAGACAAGAUACAUACAAAUAUAUAUGUAUUACUUGUUAGUAUGUAAGUCAUGGCUAACUAUAGUAUGUUGAUGCAAAAUGGUGUUUAAAAGAAACUUGUGAUUUUUAGUAUGAUCUUAGGGUUAUAACGAUACGUUUUUUUAUAUAGUAUUAGAUACUUUAUUAUUAAGGCAUACAAAAUGUUUGGUAAUAAGGUAAUUUUUAUAAAAAAAAAAAGAAAAUAAAGGAUGCAUAGUAACGUUUUUAAGAUUAUAAAAUAUCAGUUUUAUUGCUGAAUACAAGAUCAUAA